CUUUUGUCCUUGUAAUUGACAUAGACCCCAGUUCUCUAAUAAAAUGAGGAUACUACAUUGGGAAUAGCCGGGAUAGCUCAGUUGN
rnacentral:tRNA from 1 species